rnacentral:rRNA from 1 species
GAUGAACGCUGGCGGCGUGCCUAAUACAUGCAAGUCGAGCGAACAGAUAAGGAGCUUGCUCCUUUGACGUUAGCGGCGGACGGGUGAGUAACACGUGGGUAACCUACCUAUAAGACUGGGAUAACUUCGGGAAACCGGAGCUAAUACCGGAUAAUAUUUCGAACCGCAUGGUUCGAUAGUGAAAGAUGGUUUUGCUAUCACUUAUAGAUGGACCCGCGCCGUAUUAGCUAGUUGGUAAGGUAACGGCUUACCAAGGCGACGAUACGUAGCCGACCUGAGAGGGUGAUCGGCCACACUGGAACUGAGACACGGUCCAGACUCCAACGGGAGGCAGCAGUAGGGAAUCUUCCGCAAUGGGCGAAAGCCUGACGGAGCAACGCUGCGUGAGUGAUGAAGGUCUUCGGAUCGUAAAACUCUGUUAUUAGGGAAGAACAUACGUGUAAGUAACUGUGCACGUCUUGACGGUACCUAAUCAGAAAGCCACGGCUAACUACGUG